rnacentral:rRNA from 1 species
UACGAAGGGGCUAGCGUUGCUCGGAAUCACUGGGCGUAAAGGGUGCGUAGGCGGGUCUUUAAGUCAGGGGUGAAAUCCUGGAGCUCAACUCCAGAACUGCCUUUGAUACUGAAGAUCUUGAGUUGGGAGAGGUGAGUGGAACUGCGAGUGUAGAGGUGAAAUUCGUAGAUAUUCGCAAGAACACCAGUGGCGAAGACGGCUCACUGGCCCGAUACUGACGUGAGGCACGAAAGCGUGGGGAGCAAACAGG